GGCGAUCAGAUACCCGCCCUAGUUUUGACCGUAAAACGAUGCCAACUAGCGAUCCGCCAGUCGACUCAUCGCUCUGGUGGGGAGCUUCCCGGAAACGAAAGUCUUCCGGUUCCGGGGGAAGUAUGGUUGCAAAGCUGAAACUUAAAGGAAUUGACGGAAGGGCACCACCAGGAGUGGAGCCUGCGGCUUAAUUUGACUCAACACGGGGAAACUCACCCGGCCCGGACACCGUAAGGAUUGACAGAUUGAUAGCUUUUUCAUGAUUCGGUGGAUGGUGGUGCAUGGCCGUUCUUAGUUCGUGGAGCGAUUUGUCUGGUUUAUUCCGAUAACGAGCGAGACUCUGGCCUACUAAAUAGUUGACGCAUUGCCACUGUGCGCACAACUUCUUAGAGGGAUUUUCGGUGUUUUCAACCGCACGAAAUUGAGCAAUAACAGGUCUGUGAUGCCCUUAGAUGUCCGGGGCUGCACGCGCGCUACACUGGCAAACGCAACGUGCCUGUCCUGCCCCGAAAGGAGCGGGUAAACCCCUGAAAUUUUGCCGUGAUUGGGAUCGGACAUUGCAACUAUUGUCCGUGAACGAGGAAUUCCUUGUAGGGGCGAGUCAUCAACUCGUCCCGAAUACGUCCUUUCCCUUUGUAA
rnacentral:rRNA from 1 species